GAUGAACGCUAGCGGCAGGCCUAAUACAUGCAAGUCGAACGAGAUUAAGAGGCUUGCUUCUUAUGAAAGUGGCGCACGGGUGCGUAACGCGUAUGCAACCUACCUUAAUCAGGGGGAUAGCCCGAAGAAAUUCGGAUUAAGACCGCAUAAAACCACAGGAUAGCAUUAUCCAAUGUUCAAAUAUUUAUAGGAUUAAGAUGGGCAUGCGUGUCAUUAGCUAGUUGGCGGGGUAACGGCCCACCAAGGCGACGAUGACUAGGGGAUCUGAGAGGAUGACCCCCCACACUGGUACUGAGACACGGACCAGACUCCUACGGGAGGAAGCAGUAAGGAAUAUUGGUCAAUGGAGGGAACUCUGAACCAGCCAUGCCGCGUGCAGGAAGACAGCCCUCUGGGUCGUAAACUGCUUUUAUUCGGGAAUAAACCUUUCUACGAGUAGGAAGCUGAAUGUACCGAAGGAAUAAGGAUCGGCUAACUCCGUG
rnacentral:rRNA from 1 species